AGGCAACGAGGAUGAGGGUAAAAUCAAGAUGUAAGGAAUGCUUGAGUCCUUUUGGAGAUCUGUACGGCAGACCCGACCGAUUUCAGUAUAAAGGGAAGCUCUGAGUCAAUGAGAAAGGACAGGGUUACACACACACCUACAGGACGCUCUCCUGCUGUGUCAUGAGGAUCAGAGCCAACCCCAUUGCUGUGUGAACUCUGCAAAGCACGGAGAUCACAGCAGAGUGAGUCUGCCUGCAUCAGCAGAAGAGCUGCCUUUGUGGAGGUGCAGAUGCAGCCGGCCAUUGUGGAAUUCAUCUUGACCACUCAGAUGUUCUCUUCCACUCCAAAUCCAGCCCGUUCUUUGGAGAUGGAACAGGAUGCAGUUCUUAAUUGUGGCCCGAGUCCCUGUGGGUUUCUUUUCCUCCCACAAAGCUGCUCACCCUGGAGGAGCACAGGCACGGACACGAGGCCACAGCAGCUCUCCCGUUGUGUCAGACAGCAGAGACAUUGGAGUGGAAGAAGGCCCCACAGCUUUACAGGGGAAAUUGCACACAGUCAUUGACUUUCCAUCCAAAAGAUGAAGAGGAGUUUCUUUUGCAGCACCUAUCAUAAUUGUUUGGGUAUUAAGUCUACAAACUGCACUGAAUGUUUGAAAGUAGGCAACCGGUGUAUUUGCAUCAGAUGAAAAGCAGUGGAAAAAAACCCAAGCCCACAUCAUUCUGAAGAUGGAACCAAGCAGUCCACUUCUGGAAAUGCUACGAGAUGCCUACAGAAAAAGGUCUUCUGGUUCUUAUAGACAGUCUCUUCAAGGUAGGGGCUGCAAAGGCUGAUGUGGAUUCAUGGUUUUAAUUAAGCUGGUUUGAACACCAAAAUAUAUAUGCGGCAGAACUUCAUAACAAUAAAAAGAGAAACCCUACUCAUUUUCCUGAGAACGUAAAGCUACAGGAUUUUAUACAUCCUCUGCUCAGGGAAAAAGAUUUUUGUAAUGUAGGGAAUGAAAUAAAUUGUAUUCAGUUCUUGUUUUGCGGGGAGUAAACUCAGUGUGAAGGAUCAUCAUCAUCAUCAUCAAAAAAAAACCCCACCUGUGUAAACAGACUCGUGUAAGGAUGCAAAUUUUGCACAGAGAAGCAAAAAUCUGCCGUGCAGCUGCUUAGAGCACAUCCUCAUGCCAACAAUUUGAGCUGACUUAGGUAAAAGCAGCUUUGACAUUCAUAUCCUUCACCCAGUUGCUAAAACAACAUUGAGAACGUCUGUAUUCAAACUCAAGGGUUUGAGGGAGGGAAUGUCCAGCAGCUCAGGGUGCUGUGCCACAAAGCUCUGCCUGGUGGCUGGUGCUCCGUGGACCCUACCAUGACUUCAUAAGACCGGAACAUCAGCAAAUAAUUAUAAAAAAUAAAAUUUGAGUUUUACAGUUUAACCCACACUUUUCUGCAGCUUUGAGCUCCUCUAAAGAUGCACAUCGUUCCCUCUACGAUUUAAGGGACAUGAAAAAAUGACUCAGGGAGGGAAAUACCUCUACAUACAUCUCUUGUGUAGCAAGAUAGAUAUGCCUCCAGAUUCAUCUCUUGUGUAGACAGGGAGAAACACCUCUGCGCUGUGGCAAGAUUGAUCUGCACUGCUGGAGCGUCCUGUAUGGCAAGUGUGCUUGUGUGGCAGGAGUGCAGAAUGCCCCAAAGGCUGCUUGGGGCUUUGGUCACAGGGAUGUGAGCAGUUCCUUAGAUGUUCAACAGUUGGAUGCGUUCUGUAGUGAGAAGAAAUACAAAAGCCUUAGGAAAAACUCAUCAGCUCAGUGUCGAGUCAGAACUGCACAUCCAUCUGCCUUCAGCCCCGUCCGCACUCCUCCGCAUCCCACACAGCCCUUUGUGCUCCCAGAAUCUCAGACAUCUCUGCCCAUUCCCAGUGAUGCAGUGGGGACCAACCUCAUCUACAGCGGAUGGGCACUUGCCCAGUGAUGCUGAGGGUGAGCAGGAAACUGUGAGACAGGAAACACGACAGUGGGCUUGUGCUCAAGUCCUGAGCAGUUUUACUUGCUGCAGCAGCCAGCAGCUGGGAGAUUCUGCCAGGCUGCCUGGUGAAGAAUGGCAGUUCAAGGAUCAAGAGUAGGAGUUCAAGCAAAUUUGUGUUAUUGCUUACACCUGGCUUAUGGCCUCCUCGACAGGCAGGGGAGCUGGUAGACAACCAGAUGAUGCCAUGUGGCCCCUAUGGGAUUCUAUAAAAAUCAACUGGUUGGAGCAAACAGCCCUGAAGCUUUAGUUUUCAUCAAUAUCUGUCUUUUGAUUAAAACCCAUGUAGCUCUUGCUAAAAAGUGAGGGCAGGAGCAGCUGAUCUGUGUUGUACUGGUGAUCCUCAGCAGUAGUUAUUCCUCCGGAGUCAGACUGCUAGAGGAACAGAUGAGGACAGAUUUUUGACCUGAGAAGAUUCAGUGCUGAAACACUUUGCUGUCCAGCCUGCCUACAAAAUACCUGGAGUGGCACGUGAAAUAGAAAAUCACUUUAAAUUAUGGACAUGAGAAAGUAUGACUUGCUGGCUUGAAGCUCAAAGAGCAAUAUGAAAGCAUGUGGGAGAAGCUUUUUGAAAGUAAUGUUAUGCUUUAUAAAACAUCAGUUUUAUAAAACACUCGUUUAUCCUGCUCAUCUUUAAAUGCUGCCCACGUUCAGCAAAAUAUAGUCCUUUAAUCUUGGGCUGAGGAGAACUCUGAUGACAACUACAUAAGUGAGAGGGUUAGAUUAAGUCUAUAAAUGCACUGGAAGAGGAGAACCAUGAGGUUUUCCAAAGCAUAACAGAAUAAAGUUAGCAAAAGGAAUAUUAAGAGUUUCACAGAAUAUUUCCUGACAGAAAGGGCUUUAGACUGUGAGCAAGCUACUUGAAUGGCAUGCACACUAGGCUCGAUGGGACCCACAGGUCUGUUUCUAAGGUGGAAAGGUCACAGUUAGAUAACAUACCUUGUUGUUUGUGCACCCUUCAUUUGACAAGAAGUAGGCAGCUUGGGUCUGGCAACAGAGUUGUUUUAUUUUUGUGUUUUAUAAGAUAUUAGCUGCAAUGUUCACUGAUUUUGGCUUUCACACGUCCCGUGUGUUUGAUAAAACAUGGCCUUGUGAAUCUUAAAAGCUUCGCAGAGCAAUGGUAGCAUCUGGGUAGAUUUUCAUUUUAUUGGAUUAAUGUUAAUUGGCUGCCUCAUAACCAGUUUAUUUAUUCAUUGCAAAUGCUCUAAAUGCUGGCAAACGAUAUAAUUAGACUAUAAGCUAUCAAGGAAUCAAAUAAGAAACACGUUUCUGAUACUCUGCACAACAUUCUGUACAAUAUUCUAUUUGCCCCGUAUUUUCCUUUCAAAAUGAUAUUGAACUUUAAAUUGGGAGUUUUCCAUGCUAGAAUGUUCAAAACCAUCAGCCAGCAUUAGCAGGAAUCUGCCAUCAGCUCUGGCUCCUGGCUCCCAUAACUGUCCUUCUCACAGAGCCAUAGAAUCACAGAGCAGCUUGGGCUGGAGGGGACCUUAAAGCUCACCCAGCUCCAACUCCCUGCCGUAGGCAGAGGUACCAGCCACCAGCCCAGGCUGCCCAGGGCUCCAUCCAACCUGGCCUUUGAUGCCUCCAGAGAUGGGGCACCACAGCUUUUCUGGGCAGACUGUGCCAGGGCUUCACUACCCUCUGUGUAAAGAAUUUCUUCCUGACACCUAACCCAGACUUCCCCUCUUUUGGUUCAGAACUGCUCAGCCUUGCUUAUCUCUAGCAGACCACGUAAGAAGUCAGCCCCCCUCCUUUUUAUAAGCUCCCCUCAAGGUGCUGCACUGCUACAAUGGGGUUUUCCAGGGCCUUCUCCAGGCUGCACAAGCCCAGCUCCCUCUGCCCAUCUUCCUAGGAGAAGAAAGGAGGGAGACAGCCACUUCCCUUGCUCUGCUGGCCACUCUCUCUGGAUGCAGCCUCAGUCUCUUGUUUCUCUUCCUUCAUCCUCACUACUCUGUGCACCUCUGCCUGCCCUCAGCCACAUCUGGUGGGGAGGCACCUCCUGGUCAGAGUUUUGCUCCCUUCUCCUGUGAACGGCGAUGCUGUGCAAUCCUUCCUCCAACAAAGUGCCUUGUUACAUCUGGAGAGAACAGGGUCUCAGUGAUCUAAUGGUGUUUGCACCCCAAAGCCGCAAAAGGGACAGUUUCCACCUGUUUCCACUUUGUCUUUUAUUUAAGCAGUUCUGUUGACUGCUGCUGGUCAGUUUGCACACUGGUCAUACGGAUCUUCUCACAGUGGUGAAAUAUUUAUGUCACAUGUUCUGUUGUAACUCCUCAGUUUCUUCUCUUCGAGCUUGCAAUCUUCACAUUUUCAAUGGUUUGGUUGGUUGGUGCCUCAUAGAGCAGAAGUGCUGGGAUUAAAAAGUACAUAUAGUAUAUAAAGUUCUUCUCCAUCUUGCAAUUUCUGUAUCUCAAUUAUGUAUUUGCAAAGUGAGUAUGAAAUAUUUAACUGUCCAAGUCUAUCUUGUUAGAAGCCUUUAAGAAUGCAGCUUCUUUCAAAUGUCCUUUAACAUAACUCAGGGUUAGGAAUUAAACACGUAAUUAAAAAAAUAAAGUACAAAUUGUUUCACAUUUUCUAAAGAAAAUGUUUGACCUUGAGUCAUUUCCCCUAAAGAUGCUGAAGGUUUUUCCAGUUGGAAGUGAGGAGCAGAUUGCUGGUAAGCUGCCAUGGGUUAAAAAGCUCCACAUGUCAUCUCGGCCCCAGGUUGGUCUUUUUUCCCUUGAUGAGAACAGCCCUAUUAAGCUGGACGUAGUGAUCCAUGACUCUUAGACAAAGCUGGUAGCUGGGGCCUCUUACUGGAAUUUCGUGCCUCUGUUCGUGUAAUUUCCUGAGCAUUCUCACUGCUAAGUGGGAUGCCUGGUCUUGUUUUGUUGACUGCACCAGGCUAUGUGAGGCAAGGCUUGCAAGGCAAGUUCCUCCUCAGGGCUGAGCACAGCUCGUGUUCUGGGGACAUCACCACGCGUUCCAUCACCUGGUGUGUGCAAAGAGCACCAGAAGCAGCACAUCAAAGACAAGACGCCUGUGACGUACCUAAAAACGCCAUUUAAAGUGCCAACAUUGUAGCUCUCAGAACAGCUAGGGCCAAAGAUGAGGGUGGGAGCUGGGCACAGCCCCUCCUCCCAGAGCUGUGGCUGCUCACAGCCCCUCUCAGCCCUGCAGACCAUCUGGGUGCAGGGCUGGAGUUGUGGCUGGGCAGCACUUUAAGCAGGCGAUCAGCUGCAGCUCUGCUAGUGCACUGCUGACACACUGUGCUCUGCAGUUGUGUGUUUUCUGCUUACGGCUGGAGCAGAAUGCAAAAUUAAGAGAUGAAACAAAUCCCACUUGAAAACCUUUGAGAAGGAACCCAGUCAGUUCUCCUGUUAUGGCUCUACAGACUUUUUUAAGUGACAAAGUGAUGUUUUUCAUUUUUCCUUUUUUUUCCCUCUUUCUUCUGGCUCAGAGGAAGAGGAAAGUCUUGUUAUGGUGGGUGAGCAUUUUAUAUAUUUAUUGGAUUUCUUACAUUCUUACAUUUCUCUGCUCAGGCCCCCACCCCUGAGGAGGGAAAACUCCAGCACGUGGAAAUUGGCCUCAUGUCAUGUAAAUGCAGCUCCUACAGAUCGACAAAGAGCCUCCUCAAAGGACAAAGAAACUACAGUUUGUAAUUCAUUGCCUCUUCAUUUGUGUAAAGUGAUGCCUGUGUCUCUAAUGUUUUUCAGGAGAAAUAUACUUUGUAGGAUAUCAGCUACUAAACACAUCCACUGUAAUUCUGUCCUUCCCAGUGUUUUCUCCAUAGAUCCCUUUGUUAUUUCCUCUGGGUCCCUCUUAUUGAUCCUUUUUGGCAGCACUUUAUCUCAAGUAUUUUAAGGUCUGCUUAUCCAUAUAUUGGUCACAACAGCAGCUGCAUGAAUUUUCCUUAUUCCCCCUAUCCCCCCUACUCCCCCCAU